rnacentral:misc_RNA from 1 species
GAUGAAGAACGCAGCAAAAUGCGAUAAGUAAUGUGAAUUGCAGAAUUCAGUGAAUCAUCGAAUCUUUGAACGCACAUUGCGCCCGCCAGUAUUCUGGCGGGCAUGCCUGUUCGAGCGUCAUUUCAACCCUCAGCUCAGCUUGGUGUUGGGACUCGCGGUAACCCGCGUUCCCCAAAUCGAUUGGCGGUCACGUCGAGCUUCCAUAGCGUAGUAAUCAUACACCUCGUUACUGGUAAUCGUCGCGGCCACGCCGUAAAACCCCAACUUCUGAAUGUUGACCUCGGAUCAGGUAGGAAUACCCGCUGAACUUAAGCAUAUCAAUAAGCGGAGGA